AUGCUCUCCGUACCGGACGGCCCGGGGCCGGCCGACGUCCACACCGACAUCGGCGCACUGGUCAAGGGACUACCGGCCGCUAUGUCCGGCCGCCUCGAGGGGAUGAUCAGGUCGAGGAAGACCAAGUGGAUGAUAGCGGACGUGUCCAUGAGCUGGGCCCUGGAGCUGGCCACCACGGCGGGCGUCCGUGUCGCCUUGUUCUCCACGUACUCUACAGCCGUGUUCGCGCUCAGGUUGAAGCUCCCAAAGCUGAUAGAGGAUGGUGUUGUUGAUGAAAUUGGUAAGAGCAAAUCGAAAUUUCCAUCUCCAUGUAACUCGUUAGUUUCCUAG
rnacentral:rRNA from 1 species